GACGAACCGUGCGAACGUUAUUCGGAAUUACUGGGCGUAAAGGGCGCGUAGGCGGCCUGUUAAGUCGAACGUGAAAUCCCCGGGCUCAACCCGGGAACUGCGUCCGAUACUGGCAGGCUUGAAUCCGGGAGAGGGAUGCGGAAUUCCAGGUGUAGCGGUGAAAUGCGUAGAUAUCGGGAGGAACACCUGUGGCGAAAGCGGCGCACUGGACCAUAACUGACGCUGAUGCGCGAAAGCUAGGGGAGCAAACAGG
rnacentral:rRNA from 1 species